AAAUUGAAGAGUUUGAUCAUGGCUCAGAUUGAACGCUGGCGGCAGGCCUAACACAUGCAAGUCGAACGGUAACAGGAAACAGCUUGCUGUUUCGCUGACGAGUGGCGGACGGGUGAGUAAUGUCUGGGAAACUGCCUGAUGGAGGGGGAUAACUACUGGAAACGGUAGCUAAUACCGCAUAACGUCGCAAGACCAAAGAGGGGGACCUUCGGGCCUCUUGCCAUCGGAUGUGCCCAGAUGGGAUUAGCUUGUUGGUGGGGUAACGGCUCACCAAGGCGACGAUCCCUAGCUGGUCUGAGAGGAUGACCAGCCACACUGGAACUGAGACACGGUCCAGACUCCUACGGGAGGCAGCAGUGGGGAAUAUUGCACAAUGGGCGCAAGCCUGAUGCAGCCAUGCCGCGUGUAUGAAGAAGGCCUUCGGGUUGUAAAGUACUUUCAGCGGGGAGGAAGGGAGUAAAGUUAAUACCUUUGCU
rnacentral:rRNA from 1 species